CAGUAGCCGCGGUAAUACGGAGGGGGCUAGCGUUGUUCGGAAUUACUGGGCGUAAAGCGCACGUAGGCUGCUUCGUAGGCCAGAGGUGAAAGCCCGGGGCUCAACCCCGGAACUGCCUUUGAUACUGGGUGUCUAGAGUAUGGAAGAGGUGAGUGGAAUUCCGAGUGUAGAGGUGAAAUUCGUAGAUAUUAGGAGGAACACCAGUGGCGAAGGCGGCUCACUGGUCCAUUACUGACGCUGAGGUGCGAAAGCGUGGGGAGCAAACAGGAUUAGAUACCCCCGUAGUCCCUGUCUCUUAUAC
rnacentral:rRNA from 1 species